rnacentral:lncRNA from 1 species
GAGCGAUAAGGAACAGCUGUUAGGCUACCCGUAAUCACUGAUGGCUGUGUUUUACCCACUGUAGAACUCAGAAUGAGAAAUAUGAAGAUUGCAGAAUGCUUGGAUGUGAGCACAGUUUAUCCCAUCACCACCACGAUCCCUGCUGAUUCCUGUCCUGCUGUAGAAGAAUUAACUGUUCCCUGGACUGUGAUUGGCCUUUCUCUUAUUAGUGUCACCAAAGUCAUUCUUUGCAUUGUAACUGUGGGGGUGUGUGAUCGAGUCAUAUUUAGAACAGUAAGAAGAAAUCAGGAAGUAAGGGGAAGCAAGACUGGAAGGUCAAGCUGGAAAGACUGAGAUUCACAAAAAGCUGAUGGGGUCAUUUUAGUUUUACGCAUCCAUUAGCCAAGUUAAAACAGUCCAAGCCUGUAAACAUUUACAAGGUUGUUCACACCAUUAGGUGUGUUGAUAGGAUCCGUUUUAUUUCUGUGUGGUUUUGCUAUUCUUAAUGACUUUUUAUGGAUGGCUUAUUCCUAGGGGAGGAAGGACGGGCUGUAAUGGGAGCUGUUUUAUAGCUGUUGAGGGAGACAAGAGUCAUGGAGGGUUGCAAUUCAUUAGAUUCAGCAAUUCAGCUGCACACUGUUGCCUUUUGUUUGUUUUUACAUNNNNNNNNNNNNNNNNUUUUUUUUUUUUUUUUUUUCCCCCCCCCCCCCCCCCCCCCCAUAUGUUAUAAUUGUAUAUCCUCUAUAAAUAUUUUUUUACUGUCUGUAUCACAUUUAUGUACUUUAUGAAUCUUAAGGUUUAUUACUAGGGCUGCCA